CUUUUUAUAUUGUGUAUAUUGUGAUUUUGUAUUUAUUUAAUUUUUUGCAAAUAGUUUUAUAUAUACACUUUAUAAUUCUGUUUGCAAAAUUUGUUCAUUGUUGGUUUGCAUUAACUUGACAAACUAAAUUUUGAUAUUACUCAUUCUAAUUUGAGAUUAUUCAUUUAUUUAGUAAUUAGAGAUGGCUUUAAGUUCAAGCAAUGUGGUGCCUACCGCCAUUCCCAUUGCCUCACAUGUGAGCCAUGGAGAGAAGCCCGAAAA
rnacentral:lncRNA from 1 species